rnacentral:sRNA from 1 species
UAGUUGAAAACACAGUUCUUAUAUCGGUA